rnacentral:rRNA from 1 species
GAUGAACGCUGGCGGCGUGCCUAAUACAUGCAAGUCGAGCGAACAGACGAGAAGCUUGCUGCUCUGACGUUAGGGGCGGACGGGUGAGUAACACGUGGAUCACCUACCUAUAAGACUGGGAUAACUUCGGGAAACCGGAGCUAAUACCAGAUAACAUGUUGAACCGCAUGGUUCAACAGCGAAAGACGGUCGUGCUGGCACUUAUAGAGGGAUCCGCGCGGCAUUAGCUAGUUGUUAAGGUCACGGCUUACCAAGGCAACAAUGCGUAGCCGAACUGAGAGAGGGAUAGCCCACACUGGAGCGGAGCCGGCGUCCAUACUCCUACGGGAGGGACCAGUAGGCAACGUGACGCAACGGGCGAAAACCUGACGGAGCAACGGCGAGCGAGUGGAGAAGGCCUUCGGUUCGUAAAACCGUGCUACUAGGUAAGAACAAAUUUGUAAGGAAAUGUAGACAUCGUGACGGUACCUAAUCAGAAAGCCCCGGCUAACUACGUG